GGGGAAAGCUUGAGAUAGGUCAGACUUUCCUUUGGGGGGACUCUUCAGGACUGGUCUCUCCCUCUGGAUGCAUCUUGUGUUCCCCACAGGCAGAUGGGCUGUCACGGUGCCACUCGAGAGCCACACUCAGCUUCGUGCAGAACGAAAACAAAUAUUGAAUCCUGGGAAGUUGCUGCAGAAUGGAAUGGUCAUCCCCUGGAUGUCAGACAGUAUGUCAAGGAAAAUUUAAAAGGCAAUGGUUGAAAAUCCCUGAUGGAAACUCUAGCAGAGGGGGAUUUGGUGGAAAAAGGAAUGUACCUGUUGGUCAACCGGGAAAGCUGCUACCUCAUUCCCCUGGACCCCAAAAUUAGGAUUUAACUUAUACACUUUAAUAAACAUAGUUUGGGGGUAAUUACCUGUGUGUCAGCAAUAUGUUAAUUUGGGCCAUGGGCAGAGCCAUUAUGUAAUUUUUUAGAUCAUUGGCUUAUUGUGCUUAUCUUGUCUUGCUGCUAGAACCUAUCCAGGGGCUUGGGAAAACCCAUCCCCUGUCGCGUCUCUCUGCCCAAUGAGCACCCUAUAUAAUCUAUUGUAAUUCAUUGUUCUGCAAUGUCUCUGAGCCUAAUAAGCAAAGUGACAUUCCACCAGCACUGUGCAUAAUAAACUCCUGUUCUUGACUCUACAU